CCCUCCAGAGGGGGACAACAGUUGGAAACGACUGCUAAUACCGCAUACGAUCCAAUCUCGGCAUCGAGACUGGAUGAAAGGUGGCCUCUAUUUAUAAGCUAUCACUGAAGGAGGGGAUUGCGUCUGAUUAGCUGGUUGGAGGGGUAACGGCCCACCAAGGCGAUGAUCAGUAGCCGGUCUGAGAGGAUGAACGGCCACAUUGGGACUGAGACACGGCCCAG
rnacentral:rRNA from 1 species